GUAGUCAUAUGCUUGUCUCAAAGAUUAAGCCAUGCAUGUCUAAGUAUAAGCAAUUUAUACGGUGAAACUGCGAAUGGCUCAUUAAAUCAGUUAUAGUUUAUUUGAUAGUACCUUACUACAUGGAUACCUGUGGUAAUUCUAGAGCUAAUACAUGCUUAAAACUCCGACUUCGGAAGGAGUGUAUUUAUUAGAUAAAAAACCAAUGUCCUCCGGGGCUCCUUGGUGAAUCAUGAUAACUUCUCGAAUCGCAUGGCCUUGCGCUGGCGAUGGUUCAUUCAAAUUUCUGCCCUAUCAACUUUCGAUGGUAGGAUAGUGGCCUACCAUGGUGGCAACGGGUAACGGGGAAU
rnacentral:rRNA from 1 species